rnacentral:lncRNA from 1 species
CACCAUCAAUAAUUUUGCAAUAAUGGCAAUCACUCACCUGGAUGGACAAGUAGUUGUCAACAUAAAAAUAUACUGCUCUUCCACUAUGGUGUAUUCACAAAUUUAAUUGUGAAUUCCAUAUCUCCAAAUUUUUCAGAAGGAAUCCAGUCCUGAUCCAUUCAACCAUGUCCUUUACCAGAAUUCUGAUUUUAUCAUGACCCAACACACUGCUUUGGCUCUAGCUCUGGCUAAAUGGCAGGUCUAGGCUUGGCUUUGCUUAGGUCAGUAGGCUGGUGGACAUCAGUCCAUUUAACCACCUAUUGGUGGGUGGCCUGGAAUCAAACACUGAAUGGCCAGGUUGGGUGCUACCCUCUUGGCUUGUCUGGUAGAAUAUAAUCCCUUCUAUUCUGGCAUGAUUUUUCUCAUUGCAUCUGGAGUCUCCUUAUUAGACUUCAUAGUAGUUGGAAGCAUAGAUGAUCAAACUUUUUCCUCUUUUCUCAUGAAUUCUUUAACCAUAAAUAAAUCUGUCAAAGUGCAAAACAGGUUUGAAUGAAAAUGCCCUAAAACUUGAUCCCGACAAAGGAUCAAGCUUUGGGACAUUUCUAUUCAAAUAUCUUUGUUUACAAAGAUGUUUGAAUAGAAAUGACAAUAAGUUGGGUGUAGAAGGAUAGUGAUGUGUUUGAUUUGUAUGAUGUCGGAC